rnacentral:rRNA from 1 species
UCGAUAAUCCACGCAUACUCAACCCCCUGUCGACUACUACAGCAUGUGUACUGCCGUUGUAAGCAUACCUCUAAAAGAAUAAGUACGCUUCUAUGAUUAAAUAAAAUUAGCUCAUAUACAUCAGGUCAAAGUGCAGCCAAUAAGGAGGUGACGAUGGGUUACAACCCCAAAACAGACUAUGAAUCAAGAAAUUAAAAAUCUUGCGAAAGUGGACUUGACCGUAAUCAAUUUUCAAGUUAAAAAAAUGAAUAAAAAUCUAAGACAUGCACACAUCGCCCGUCACUCUAUCCUAAAGGAUAGAUAAGUCGUAACAAAGUAGGUGUAAUGGAAAUUGCACCUGUCGAAGUAUAGCAUAUAUAAUGCUUUUUACUUACACUAAAAAUAAAGUUAAAUAACUUACCUCGCCCGCGUAAUAAUACCCUACAAACCAUUAAAUAAUACAAACAAAUAAACAAAUAUAUAAAUAACAAAAUACAGAAAUGGAAGCAACAAUUGAUAAAAGUAAAUCUUAAUAACUGUACCUUGUGCAUUAUGGUUUUACAAGAAAAUAAUUAAUAUGUAUAUCCCGAAUUCUUAAUGAGAUGUUAAACUGCUGUUAUGAACCCAUUAAUAACUGUAGAAAAAGUUUUAAAAGACAGUUUAACAGAGGCUACAUACCAUCCGCAUAAGAAUAUAGCUGGUUUUCAACAAACAUUAUAAAUUAAAACAUAUAAUUAUAUUAUAGUGUAAUAUUAUUGAGGAUAAGCCCAAUAAUUAAAGCAAUGACAACACUAAAGUCCAUUUUCCUACAUAGGCCUAAAAUCAGCCAACCAAAAUACUUUAUCGUAAUGGAUAAAGAUAUAAUAAAUAAAGCCCCAUGCUAAAGAAAGUUGAAAUAGUAGACAAACCCGCUACCCUACUCAUAUUAUGUAAAAAUAAGUAUUUUAAAUAUUAAAAACAACUAAUCAAGUAACACCAACAUUCAUAACAAAAUAAAAUUAAUUAAGGAACUCGGCAAACCAUUAUUUCGACUGUUUAACAAAAACAUUGUCUCACGAACAAGAUGUGAGAUAA